rnacentral:lncRNA from 1 species
CUACCACCGUUCACCUCGUCCUUCACUAACCAAUCCCCGACCUACCUUUCCUACUCAAUCCCUUCGUUUCUGGGUCUCGAACAAAACGCCGUCGUGCUCCCUGAGUCUGACUCUGUGAGUGAAGUUGUUGUUGGAGUUUUGGAUACCGGAGUCUGGUCAAAAAGUAAAAGCUUCGAUGAUACUGGAUUUGGGCCAAUACUAAGUUCAUGGAAAGGAGAAUGUGAAACUGGAACAAAAUUCACUGCAUCAAACAGUAACAAGAAAUUGAUUGGAGCCAAGUAACAUCUUCGUUUUAUUCAAUUCUUAGCCGAUUAUUUUCAUAAACAUCUGGUAGUUGAAACUUGAAUUAUUGGUCUGUCUUCAAUAGGUAUUUCGCAAGAGGCUUUGAGUAGCACUCUAGGCCCAAUUGACGAGUCCAAUGAAUCAAGAUCUGCAAGAGAGUGAAGUCAUCGUUGGAGUUUUGGAUACCGGAGUCUGGCCAGAAAGUAAAAGCUUCGAUGAUACUGGAUUUGGGCCAAUCCCAAGUUCAUGGAAGGAGAAUGUGAAACUGGAACAAAAUUCACUGCAUCAAACUGUAGCAAGAAAUUGAUUGGAGCCAAGUAACAUCUUCGUUUUAUUCAAUUCUUAGCCGAUUAUUUUCAUAAACAUCUGGUAGUUGAAACUUGAAUUAUUGGUCUGUCUUCAAUAGGUAUUUCGCAAGAGGCUAUGAGGCUACUCUGGGCCCAAUUGACAAGUCCAAGGAAUCAAGAUUUGCAAGAGACGAGGAUGGCCAUGGAACCCACGCUGCCUUAACCAUCGCAGGAUCAGAAUUGGUGGUUGAUUUUCAUGGUGGG